GUUGUGAUGGCCAAGUGGUGAAGCUAUUGGACUUGAAAUCCAAAGGGGUUCCACUGCAUGGGUUCAAGUCCUGCUCACAGCU